CUGUCCAACGUUAAUCGGGGCAGGGUGAGUCGACCCCUAAGGCGAGGCCGAAAGGCGUAGUCGAUGGGAAACAGGUUAAUAUUCCUGUACUUGGUGUUACUGCGAAGGGGGGACGGAGAAGGCUAUGUUGGCCGGGCGACGGUUGUCCCGGUUUAAGCGUGUAGGCUGAUUUUCCAGGCAAAUCCGGAAAAUCAAGGCUGAGGCGUGAUGACGAGGCACUACGGUGCUGAAGCAACAAAUGCCCUGCUUCCAGGAAAAGCCUCUAAGCAUCAGGUAACAUCAAAUCGUACCCCAAACCGACACAGGUGGUCAGGUAGAGAAUACCAAGGCGCUUGAGAGAACUCGGGUGAAGGAACUAGGCAAAAUGGUGCCGUAACUUCGGGAGAAGGCACGCUGAUAUGUAGGUGAAGCGACUUGCUCGUGGAGCUGAAAUCAGUCGAAGAUACCAGCUGGCUGCAACUGUUUAUUAAAAACACAGCACUGUGCAAACACGAAAGUGGACGUAUACGGUGUGACGCCUGCCCGGUGCCGGAAGGUUAAUUGAUGGGGUUAGCGGUAACGCGAAGCUCUUGAUCGAAGCCCCGGUAAACGGCGGCCGUAACUAUAACGGUCCUAAGGUAGCGAAAUUCCUUGUCGGGUAAGUUCCGACCUGCACGAAUGGCGUAAUGAUGGCCAGGCUGUCUCCACCCGAGACUCAGUGAAAUUGAACUCGCUGUGAAGAUGCAGUGUACCCGCGGCAAGACGGAAAGACCCCGUGAACCUUUACUAUAGCUUGACACUGAACAUUGAGCCUUGAUGUGUAGGAUAGGUGGGAGGCUUUGAAGUGUGGACGCCAGUCUGCAUGGAGCCGACCUUGAAAUACCACCCUUUAAUGUUUGAUGUUCUAACGUUGGCCCGUUAUCCGGGUUGCGGACAGUGUCUGGUGGGUAGUUUGACUGGGGCGGUCUCCUCCUAAAGAGUAACGGAGGAGCACGAAGGUUGGCUAAUCCUGGUCGGACAUCAGGAGGUUAGUGCAAUGGCAUAAGCCAGCUUGACUGCGAGCGUGACGGCGCGAGCAGGUGCGAAAGCAGGUCAUAGUGAUCCGGUGGUUCUGAAUGGAAGGGCCAUCGCUCAACGGAUAAAAGGUACUCCGGGGAUAACAGGCUGAUACCGCCCAAGAGUUCAUAUCGACGGCGGUGUUUGGCACCUCGAUGUCGGCUCAUCACAUCCUGGGGCUGAAGUAGGUCCCAAGGGUAUGGCUGUUCGCCAUUUAAAGUGGUACGCGAGCUGGGUUUAGAACGUCGUGAGACAGUUCGGUCCCUAUCUGCCGUGGGCGCUGGAGAACUGAGGGGGGCUGCUCCUAGUACGAGAGGACCGGAGUGGACGCAUCACUGGUGUUCGGGUUGUCAUGCCAAUGGCACUGCCCGGUAGCUAAAUGCGGAAGAGAUAAGUGCUGAAAGCAUCUAAGCACGAAACUUGCCCCG
rnacentral:rRNA from 1 species